rnacentral:rRNA from 1 species
UACGUAGGGGGCAAGCGUUGUCCGGAUUUACUGGGCGUAAAGAGCGUGUAGGCGGCCAAGCAGGUCCGUUGUGAAAACUGGAGGCUUAACCUCCAGACGUCGACGGAAACCGCGUGGCUAGAGUCCGGAAGAGGAGAGUGGAAUUCCCGGUGUAGCAGUGAAAUGCGUAGAGAUCGGGAGGAACAUCAGUUGCGAAGGCGGCUCUCUGGACCAGCACUGACACUGAGGCACGAAAGCGUGGGAAGCAAACAGG